rfam:Gregarina niphandrodes unplaced genomic scaffold scaffold00133, whole genome shotgun sequence.
GACUGGUUGGUCUAGCGGUAUGAUUCUCCAUUGGGGUGGGAGAAGUCCUGGGUUCGAUUCACAGAACAGUCG